ACUGUUCUGUGUAUUUGAAAAGUUUUUCUUUGUUCUGCUUAAAAACUGGGAGUGGUACAAAACAAGCAUAGCAUUUUGGCGUCCACAGCUCCUUCUCCUGGAAGUGCCACUUUGUGCAGGCAGGAAGCCCGGUGCCCCUUUGAAGAACGUCUGCAGGGGAGAACAGAUAUUUUUAGAGGCACCCUCCAGCAAUGAGCAGUUCAUUGCCAGCUUAUCUCUGUGUUUAAACAAUAAUCAACCUCUUCCGCUCUCAGUUGGUGAUUCACAGUAAUUUUGUGUUAUACGGGCUCUAGACAAGAUGAAGGCAGCUGCAUACAUUUGAUCAGACUCACACAUUAGCUGGAUUCUGACAGGCUGGCACUGUCCUCUUUUAGCAGUGUCCUUUGUGCAUACAAAUGUGCUGGCAAAGGAUUUCCUGAACCGCGUGGCUGAGUAUGACCAGCAUGGGAACGCUCCUACUACAGGGAGUGAAUCGGUGCCUUGCCUACAAGGUCCAGACAAUUUUGUUUCCUGUUUCGGGCACUGCACUGGAAACAUGAUACAUCCAGUUAAUCUUCAACGGGCGAUUUCAGACGUUAUAGGUCCACUUAUACCUUGUGAUGAAUUACUGCUGUGUUUGGCAAAUAUUAAAUAACAUUUUUUUGUUGACAUGGAAGUGUGACCUGCAGGCUGCAGCUGGUCCCAGUGUUCGGCACAGUUUGUGUCCUGCCGUCUGGUUCUUCCUCCCUCUGUUCACUUGCUAUUGAAACACAGCUGGUUUACGUCCAUCACAAUCAAUGGAAGGACAUUUCCGAGCUGGUAAUUGCUUAAAGGAUCCGGUGCUGAUGGCUUCUGGAGCUGCCAAUCCAGGGAGCAGCUUUUGGCUCCUGCUGUGUACAGUAUGUCUGCAGUUUGACCAUUUAUCUCACUUUACAUACUUGAAUUGAAAGAAAGAAUAAACAGUGUAAAUCUGUGUCACACACCAGAUGUCCAUCACAUUACAGCAUGGAGGUCUAAUUCCAAAUAUCUGAAUGUUGCAUGGAUGCGUGAUUGAAAACAGAUGACUGAGGCCUGAUCCUGUUCUCAGAAAAGCUAUUGUAAAACCUGGAGGUGGAAGUUGAGCAAAAAGGGGCACUUACUGAUGCUUUCCCAGAGAGAGGAGCUUGAAGGUUGAGGGAACAGCACUGCCAUUGAAAGAGUCCACUGUGAAAGGAAUUAAUGCUCAAUCUGAAGUUACAUGGCAAGAUUUAAAUUGCCUUAUUGUGGAAGACUACACCGACGGCUUGAAACGAUGGUGCUCCAACAUCAGCACUUGCUGGAAUUUUGCCCAGUGGUGAAGAUGAACUGGAUGACAGUUUUCAGAAGAUUUGCACAGAAACUGUACGAAGGAAAGGAAAGCUGCCCAGCCUAUGGCUGCUUCAUCACACUGCUAUGAACAUGGAAUAGAGGUGGCAGAAUUAAAUCCAUCAGAAUACCUGAGCUGCAGUAAGAACAAGCACUGCCCAGUGUCUAAUGACAUAAAGAAAUGCUGACAUAAAACAGUGAAACAUACCUUUAUCCAUCCCUCCUCUCAAGCCAACGACGGAUCUGAGCAAAGCUCAGUCAUACCUAGAGCUUUUCCAAAUCGGUAAUGUGCGUAAGAGCUGUCUGGCAGAUGUGGAAUAAAUCCAAAACAAAUGCAGGCCGUGCAAGCUGACUGCAUAUGCAAUGCAAGGGGCAGAGCAUGGGGCUGCUGUCUGCUGCUGCUCUUUGAGGUGGUCAGAGACCAUCUCAGCAGAUGGGACCAAACUGUCUUGUAGCUGGUGAUCUCAGAUAAAAGGUUUUGACCUGGGCCAAAGCUACCAGACAUCACAAAGUCACAAACAAGUCUAUAAACAUAUCAAAAUAAACCCAGAGGGAGCCUCUCAGCAGAAAGGAGGGAGAGGAGGAGUCAUGGACAGAAAAAUCUAGGAAAAACCCUCUAUGUGCUAGAGUGCUUGCAGGCAAUGACAUGAAACAGAUCUCAGUUCUUCUAGGUGUUCUCAGGCUAAAGCAGUUCUUUUUUAACAAGGUUAUUUUUUGUGAGACUAUAAAUGUUAAAAUAUGAUCAAAGCAACAGUUUGUUCAUUAAUAAUAUGGCCUAGAACUGGGCAGUGAUUCCUAAUUGUGAAAUGGGUAGUACUCAACCUUGUUUUCUGAUUGGCUUUAGGGAGCUUGAAUGCAUGGCCUUAUUUCACUGCAAAGCCCUGGCAGACUUUGCACAUUAAAAUUCUAAACUGUCUAAGUAGGUGUGAAACUAAUUUUGUGUUUAUUUUUUAAAAACCACCUAUGAUCAUUUAGGACCAUCCACUUCACUUUGGGAGGCCCUUACCUAGCUGCAGGUGGGCCCUAGGAGACAAUAAAGCCCACCUCAGAGAGGAUAAUUUCUCAAAUAUCAUAACCUGAAUAUUUAUAGCUUCUGGAAUCGUUGUAGCUACUUAUCCAUGUUUCCAGCCACAACUUUUCUUAAUAAGAAGGGCUUUGAAAAACUUGCUAAAUCUGGACAUAAAAGGAAACAGAAGUUUUCCUAGUGCAGUGGAAUUUUUUAAAAGUCACAUAGUAACUUUAUUGAUGAAACAAGGAAGAAAGCACUUUUCCACCAGACUUUGCAGAGCAUAUUUACAAAACACAAGAUUUUUUCAUUAACGUGUAGGCAAGGCAAAGUCAUGACGAGGUUUCCUGCAAAGUGAGGACACUUAUGUGGCUAGUCAUUUCAUCAGUGGGUUAUCUUACUCUCUUGCUUGUGGUGUUUUAAUAUGUUUAUGAGAGACAAAUCUUGGGGAAAAAAAAAUCAAAGAGAAAUGAAAGAACUCAGAGGAAUUUUGGCUUUUUAAAGUUUUAUUUAACAUGGGAAAAUGUGUGCUACAUCCUAUUUACACAAAUACAAAAAUGUUUGCAAAUCACCUUGUACAUCUAUAACAUCAACUGAUAUUUCUUUACCUUGCAGUUCACUUAGUUACUUAUAGAGGGAACUUACGCGUCAAAAAAAUUUGUCAGUGAAGUCCAAAGAGCACUGAAAUCACAAUGGCUGUGGUUUGCCCUCAGAUUCAUAAACCUGAAUUUGGGUAUCUAAACAGGUAUCUGCUAAGCUUCCUUUUCUGUCAGUGAAAAGCAAAGAUUCAAUUACCUAAGAAUGAAUAGUACCUGGGAUCACCUGAGAUGCCCAAAUGUCUCCCACCAUGUUCUUUCUGAUGCUCCAGAGAUGAUCAAGCCACCUGUGUAUGGGUCCUGUGUAUUUCCGCUAGCCUUGUAUAGGUGAUCUGGAUAGCAGCGGCUGUCUCAAAUGCAACAAAUGUAUUAAGCAACAGAAUCAUGCUUUGUGUGAAACCAGGGCUGAACCCUUGCCUCCGUCACUUUGCAUCAGUACACUGCAAUAUGCUUGUUCUACCUCGUAGUAUUUCUGUACUCUGUAGUAUUUCUCAGUUCUACUGUUCAGUGAUUUGUGAGAGGUAGGAUGCUUGGCUUUGCCAGGCUUCUCAACCCUUAUUUAUGGUUGCACAUAGCUCUGGGAAGACAGAAAUUAUGGCUUUAAUAACAUUGUCUCAAAUAGACAGAUUUGGAGAACAUGUUAACAGUUAGCAUGUAGUUUGAUUAAUGCAGAAACAUAAACGUGUAUGUAUAAAUCAGACAUUUACUAUAUUGAGAAAGCCAUGGCUGAUAACUCAUUUUUUUCUUAGUAUGUAUUUAUUUCUCAAACUAAAAAGAUCUGAUAAAUGUCACAAUAAUUCUAGUUUGUGAAUUCAGCUACAUCCAGGACAGAAGCACUAAGCAGCUCUGUGCAAUCAGAACAAUGUCCACAGCUAGCAUGAACAAUAAUAUCCCUACAGGAAAGAGCUCUGAUAAAGAUGGGUGAAUACUAGAUAAAUUACUAGCUAAACUUCCAGAAAUUGGGCUAAAUUUUCAAAGAUUCUGCUGCCAAUAACUUCACCAUACAUCUGGAAGGAUGGAAAGGGCUUUUGAAAACGUGGCCAUCCUUUCUCAGAGAUUCAAGAAGAUCCCAAAAGCACAAACAAGUGAGGUGGAUUUACCUGCUGAAUGAGGUUGCAGACCUAAUACUAGUAGAUUUUAUAUCACCUGGGGAAGUUAUAAUGCUUUUCAUGAAUGAAGAGUUACGAAGUGUUGCAGUUCUGUGGAAGUCGAGGCCUGUGUCUGUGUUACUACUACAUCCGUAAAUGUAGGGACUUAAAGCUAAAGUGUUGUUUUCCUCUAAAUCAGAAUAAUGAAUGUAAAUGCGUGCAAAGAAUGAGUCAGCAAUACCAUUCUCUAUCCUGUGAGUAAACAAUUGCUCUGGAAACUAUCUACCAUCAGUUCCAAAGCUUUUACCAUAAGGCACUAAAAACCAAGAAACUGUUCUUUCCAACCAGGAGGACUUUCCUCCCCUAAGACAAAUCUUGCAAACAGUAAACUUGAGCCAGCUCCGGCUCUGUUUGUACCCAGAAGGAGGAGGCUUUGGUUCUUUAAUUAAGAGGUCUGAGUCUAUUUUUUUUCUUUUUUCCUGUGCGGUGUUGGAAAAAUAAAAUAAGAAGACUGAUUGAUUAUAACAACAAGCUGAACACCAGAUGUUUUAUGAAUAUACGGCUUCCCCGGCCCACACCCAUGUACAUGUAAGAGAAAAAGAAAAACAAAGGACUGUUUAUAAUUGUCAGAAUAUUAAAACCUUUGCUUAUUCAAUGUUCUUUCUUCGCUGGCCUGUUCAUGCAGCCAAAAAAUUGAUUUAUGACACAGACCAUUCAUUGCUUGAGUUUUACUUUCCAAACUUGGUAGAA